GAUGAACGCUGGCGGCGUGCCUAAUACAUGCCAGUCGAGCGAACAGAUGAGGAGCUUGCUCCUCUGACGUUAGCGGCGGACGGGUGAGUAACACGUGGAUAACCUACCUAUAAGACUGGGAUAACUUCGGGAAACCGGAGCUAGUACCGGAUAAUAUAUUGAACCGCAUGGUUCAAUAGUGAAAGACGGUUUUGCUGUCACUUAUAGAUGGAUCCGCGCCGCAUUAGCUAGUUGGUAAGGUAACGGCUUACCAAGGCAACGAUGCGUAGCCGACCUGAGAGGGUGAUCGGCCACACUGGAACUGAGACACGGUCCAGACUCCUACGGGAGGCAGCAGUAGGGAAUCUUCCGCAAUGGGCGAAAGCCUGACGGAGCAACGCCGCGUGAGUGAUGAAGGUCUUCGGAUCGUAAAACUCUGUUAUUAGGGAAGAACAAAUGUGUAAGUAACUAUGCACGUCUUGACGGUACCUAAUCAGAAAGCCACGGCUAACUACGUG
rnacentral:rRNA from 1 species